GAUGAACGCUGGCGGCGUGCCUAAUACAUGCGAGUCGAGCGAACGGACGAGAAGCUUGCUUCUCUGAUGUUAGCGGCGGACGGGUGAGUAACACGUGGAUAACCCACCUAUAAGACUGGGAUAACUUCGGGAAACCGGAGCUAAUACCGGAUAAUAUUUUGAACCGCAUGGUUCAAAAGUGAAAGACGGUCUUGCUGUCACUUAUAGAUGGAUCCGCGCUGCAUUAGCUAGUUGGUAAGGUAACGGCUUACCAAGGCAACGAUGCAUAGCCGACCUGAGAGGGUGAUCGGCCACACUGGAACUGAGACACGGUCCAGACUCCUACGGGAGGCAGCAGUAGGGAAUCUUCCGCAAUGGGCGAAAGACUGACGGAGCAACGCCGCGUGAGUGAUGAAGGUCUUCGGAUCGUAAAACUCUGUUAUUAGGGAAGAACAUAUGUGUAAGUAACUGUGCACAUCUUGACGGUACCUAAUCAGAAAGCCACGGCUAACUACGUG
rnacentral:rRNA from 1 species